GCAUUCAUGUUGUGAGCAGUUAUUCAUAUUAAUAAGCAUUUCAGACAAUACAGCUGUUAUGGCAAUAAAAGUGACUGAAUUUUUCAGUAUUACGACAUCCUUGGUAUAUAGAGGAGACGAAAGUUACCUGUGGUCUGAUGAAAAAAAAAUGUUCAAAUUAGCGAUACAUGGUAACUACUGUGAUACUCGAAUUCGAAAUGUCGAACAUGUGCGCCUAUUAACCUAUUAGCCCUAUUGGUGUCCGAUUGGUCCGAGUCGACCGAGUAACUUUGGUGUACGACGUAUAGAGCGGUAUAGAGCGUAUAGAUCUGUGGUGUACGGGGUGGUAGAGCGGUAUAGAGACUACUAUAGAACGUGCCGAAGAAUUCGUCUGGUUUGUUUGCUAUAAUGUUCGAUGAUCAAAAUGAGUGAUUGACACCGAUUCAUGCGUAGAAGCUGUAGGAGUGACUUUUGAACUUUAUUUAUACGUCAGUGAUGGAGCACACGGGAAUGCAGCAAGUGGUUGACGUAGAAUGGAAAUUCGGCGUGACUGCAGCCAGCAGCAAGGAAAGACAAGUGGGUACCACUUACCUCCACUUGAAGCUUGUGUUGGACACUGGUUGUGGGCAUACAAAGAAUGUUUAUUUGGAGAUGUCUCUACCUCAGUUCUAUGCUUUCCUGCAUGAACUAGAGAAGGCAAAGGGUAGUUUAGAUUACAUCAGUUAGCAUCUUGCAUUUUCUUUUGGUUUCUUCUUUUUUUAUGAAAUGCAUAUCUGCCUCAU